rnacentral:rRNA from 1 species
UGAGCAAUCUGCCCUUCACAUCGGAAUAACCAUUGGAAACGAUGGCUAAUACCGAAUAUGACUUCGGAUCGCAUGAUCUGAAGUGGAAAGCUCCGGCGGUGAAGGAUGAGCUCGCGGCCUAUCAGCUUGUUGGUGAGGUAAUAGCUCACCAAGGCGAUGGACGGGUAGCCGGCCUGAGAGGGUGACCCGGCCACACGUGGGACUGAGCACGGCAGA